rnacentral:rRNA from 1 species
GGUCUGAGAGGAUGAUCCGCCACACUGGGACUGAGACACGGCCCAGACUCCUACGGGAGGCAGCGGUGGGGAAUAUUGGACAAUGGGGGGAACCCUGAUCCAGCCAUGCCGCGUGUGUGAAGAAGGCCUUAUGGUUGUAAAGCACUUUAAGCGAGGAGGAGGCUACUUUAGUUAAUACCUAGAGAUAGUGGACGUUACUCGCAGAAUAAGCACCGGCUAACUCUGUGCCAGCAGCCGCGGUAAUACAGAGGGUGCGAGCGUUAAUCGGAUUUACUGGGCGUAAAGCGUGCGUAAGCGGCUUAUUAAGUCGGAUGUGAAAUCCCCGAGCUUAACUUGGGAAUUGCAUUCGAUACUGGUGAGCUAGAGUAUGGGAGAGGAUGGUAGAAUUCCAGGUGUAGCGGUGAAAUGCGUACAGAUCUGGAGGAAUACCGAUGGCGAAGGCCGCCAUCUGGCCUAAUACUGACGCUGAGGUACGAAAGCAUGGGGAGCAAACAUGAUUAGAUACCCUGGUAGUCCAUGCCGUAAACGAUGUCUACUAGCCGUUGGGGCC